rnacentral:rRNA from 1 species
AAUCCAUAGGUUAAUGAGGCGAACCGGGGGAACUGAAACAUCUAAGUACCCCGAGGAAAAGAAAUCAACCGAGAUUCCCCCAGUAGCGGCGAGCGAACGGGGAGGAGCCCAGAGCCUGAAUCAGCAUGUGUGUUAGUGGAAGCGUCUGGAAAGGCGCGCGAUACAGGGUGACAGCCCCGUACACAAAAGCGCAUGUGCUGUGAGCUCGAUGAGUAGGGCGGGACACGUGGUAUCCUGUCUGAAUAUGGGGGGACCAUCCUCCAAGGCUAAAUACUCCUGACUGACCGAUAGUGAACCAGUACCGUGAGGGAAAGGCGAAAAGAACCCCGGCGAGGGGAGUGAAAAAGAACCUGAAACCGUGUACGUACAAGCAGUGGGAGCACCCUUUGGGGUGUGACUGCGUACCUUUUGUAU